GUCCAGACUCCUACGGGAGGCAGCAGUGGGGAAUAUUGCACAAUGGGGGAAACCCUGAUGCAGCAACGCCGCGUGAGUGAAGAAGUAUUUCGGUAUGUAAAGCUCUAUCAGCAGGGAAGAAAAUGACGGUACCUGAGUAAGAAGCCCCGGCUAACUACGUGCCAGCAGCCGCGGUAAUACGUAGGGGGCAAGCGUUAUCCGGAUUUACUGGGUGUAAAGGGAGCGUAGACGGCGAUACAAGUCUGAAGUGAAAGCCCGGGGCUCAACCCCGGGACUGCUUUGGAAACUGUGUUGCUGGAGUGCUGGAGAGGCAAGCGGAAUUUCUAGUGUAGCGGUGAAAUGCGUAGAUAUUAGGAAGAACACCAGUGGCGAAGGCGGCUUGCUGGACAGUAACUGACGUUGAGGCUCGAAAGCGUGGGGAGCAAACAGGAUUAGAUACCCCUUAC
rnacentral:rRNA from 1 species